CCCUUAGAUGUUCGGGGCCGCACGCGCGCUACACUGAAGGAAUCAGCACGUCUUUCUCCUUGUCCGAAAGGACUGGGUAACCCGCUGAACCUCCUUCGUGCUAGGGAUUGGGGCUUGUAAUUCUUCCCCAUGAACGAGGAAUUCCCAGUAAGCGCGAGUCAUAAGCUCGCGCUGAUUACGUCCCUGCCCUUUGUACACACCGCCCGUCGCUACUACCGAUUGGAUGGUUUAGUGAGAUCCUCGGAUUGGUCCCGGCGCGGCCUCUGGUCGUGCCGGAGUGCCGAAAAGAAUGUCGAACUUGAUCAUCUAGAGGAAGUAAAAGUCGUAACA
rnacentral:rRNA from 1 species